CGGGUCAUAGCUUAAGUGGCAUAGAGCAGGGAGACCGAAACGCUCCCGGACGCAGGUUCGACUCCUGCUGACCCAC
rnacentral:tRNA from 3 species